AGUGGAAAUAUUAUACAGGGAGCAGCUAGCUUUUCUUGGCUUUCUUGUUUGUUCCUGAGCUGACAAUAGAAAUCUUUGAGAAUUGGAACUAGUGCGCUUUGAAAACAAAACUCUCUUCACUUACAGGGCAUGGAUUUUUCUGCUAAUUUGGAUUCUUUUGAGGACAAAUUUGCAUACCAUUAUCAUUAUCAUUGUUUCAUCGAAAAAAAAAUAAAAGAAGCACCUGUGGGAUAGAGAAUGAGAGAGGAACACAGAAUGGCGAAAGAGGUGUUAGAGCAGUCGGAGGAAAUGGACAUACUUUGGAAGACAGAGACCUGGUAAUCCCUUUUCACCCAAGAAGAACCAAGCCCUGGAUGAAUGGAUGAGCAGCUCACGUUUUUCUGCCCCCCACCCCCAGUCUUUCUGAGACUGACUUUGUCCUAGGAAUUGUUCGUCCCUCUGGAAGCUAGUCUGGUAUGUGGAUGUUCCUUAGAGCCCUGGUGAUAGGGAAUUAGGAAGUAAGUGCUUGAACUGAAGCCCUUUUGUCCUAAUUCACUGGUAUCUGGGGCAAAAGCUUGCCCUCUCUGUGAAAAUGAAAUGAAAAUCUUUUCAUUUUCUGGGAGCUCAAGGUCAGACCCUGGCACAGUAGGGACCCAAUCCGUGGGCUGUUCCUGAACCCCUACCCCAGACCAUUGCCCUGGAUGGCUCUUGAAGCUGGUGGCAAGAGAGAACUGAGAGUUCUCUAAGGAAAAGAGCAGCCAGGUUGCUCCUUUGUUUUAAAUUAUUUAGCUGCACCAAAUUUUCAGAUUUGUGGCAACAACAACUCUAUUUAAAAACUCCAGGCACAUGAUGGAUGAGCUCAAUGUUUUCAGUCAGUUCCCAGCUUCCAGCCCACCCUACGGGAAUCUUCUAAGAGUUACUUGGGCUUGCCUGGGUCAGCCUCCAACUAUUGGGACCAGCUAAAGUGCAAGAGCUACACAAUGCCUAUCAUGAUAUUUGGCGUAUGUUUUUCAUAUAAAUGAAUUUCAUCAAGUCCCAUACACCACCUCCAAGAGAAAAAAGAUACUCAACUUAGGAAGUCAGAACUGGGAUGUUUGCAUAGAAGUCACGCUUUUUGUAUAGAUGGGUUGUGUGAGUUUAUUUCCAUGGACUUCUGCCUGUGAAAUAGGUAGUGUGUGUGUUUCUGAGAUUCUCUUGUAUGAAGCUGCUGCUCUUCUCACAAAGCUCAUCAUUUUAGGUGAGACUGAAUGUGACACCCAUUGAAGCUGCUUUGGAGCCCAAGAUGCAUGCCCUAAUACAACCACUUUUUUUUUUUUUUCGGAUGGAGUCUCACUCUGUCACCAGGCUGAAGUGCAGUGGUGUGAUCUUGGUUCACUGCAACCUCUGCCUCCCAGGUUAAAGCGAUUCUCCUGCCUCAGCCUCCUGAGUAGCUGGGACUGCAGGUGCAUGCCACCACCCCCGGCUAAUUUUUGUAUUUUUAGUAGAAAUGGGGUUUCACCAUGUUGGCCAGGAUGGUCUCGAUCUCCUGACCUCAUGAUUCAUCCUCCUUGGCCUCCCAAAGUGCUGGGAGCCACUGCGCCCAGCCAAUACAACCACUUUUAUUGAAUGCUUCCUAUAUUCCAGAGAUUUUAUAUAUACGCGUUACAUUAUAUUCGCUAACAUCCUUGCUCAAAAAUAAUAAGGCAGGUAUUAUCAUUCCUAUUUUAUAGCUAAGAAAAUUAAGACUCACAGAUGUUGCUCAAAGUCACAUCAAGGUUUGGCUUAUUCCAAGCCUGGAGUUUCGUUUCAUCAUACGACAAUAUCUCUUCUCUGGCAAGUUUCUAGGACUACCCUACAUAACAUCUGCUGUGCUGUCAAAACACAAGAUGAUGCUUCUUCCUCUAUAAUGACAAUCUCUGGGGGAGGGUGUUUGGCAAGUGGAAUGUGGGAGGGGGCCUCUUGGGAAGCUGACAAGGUUCUAUUUCUUUCUCUUGAUAGUGAUUGCACAGGUAUGUUCACUUUGUGAUAAUUCACCAAGGUAGACACAUAAGAUUCAGGAUUUUUUGGUGUUUGUCAUAUUUCUUUUUGUUUUUUUGAGAUGGAGUCUUGCUCUGUUGCUGAAGCUGGAGUGCAGUGGUGUGAUCUUGGCUCACUGCAGUCUCCACCUCCUCGGUUCAAGUGAUUCUCCUGUCUCAGCCUCCCUAGUAGCUGAGAUUAUAGGAGUGUGUUACCACGCCUAGCUGAUUUUUGUAUUUUUAGUAGAGACAAAGUUUCGCCAUGUUGGCCAGGCUGGUCUUGAACUCCUGACCUCAAGAGAUCUGCCCGCCUCAGCUUCCCAAAGUGGUGUUUGUUAUGUGUCAAUAACAAGUCUAUUUAAAAAAUCAUUUCCCCACGCUGGGCAUGGUGGCUCAUACAUAUAAUGCCAGCACUUUGGGAGGCCGAGCGGGUGGAUCUCUUGAGGCCAGGAGUUCAAGACCAGCCUGGCCAACAUGGUGAAACUCUGUCUCUACAAAACAACAACUGCCAAAAAAUUAGCCAGGCAUGGUGGCACAUGCCUGCAGUUCCAGUUACUGGGGAGGCUGAGGUGGGAGAAUCACUUGCCUGGGAGGCAGAGGUUGCAGUGAGCUGAGAUCACACCACUGCAUUCCAGCCUGGGUGACAGACUGAGACCCCACUUCAAAAAAAGAAUUUAUCCUAGCAAUUAAUGUUGGAGGGGAGCCCUGCUUCUCAUGGACAAUAGACACUAAUCAAUCAAUGGGAACUCCUUGGACUCUACUACAUAGUAAUUUUUAAUAUAAUACAAAUAAGUUGAUGCCCUACCCCUUUACAAAAAGAGUUUUAAGUGGAUCACAAUAAAACAUCAUGCACAAUCAUAAAGUAGUAUUAGGAGGAGGUUGUCAGCACUAUAUAAGAAGGAAAACUUUCCUUACAUACAUAUGUCACUCUGCUGGGCACCACAGAAGGUUUAAGGCUGGCUCCUGCUCUCAGGGUGCUCACACAGCCAAGCUGAUGACAUUGAGCCUUUACUAGUAGUAAAUAGAUACUUGCCUUUAAAUAUGUUGGAACUUGUUGGAAUGGGUUCCCACUCUCAAUUUGGUGAUCAAUAAACUCAAAGGAAGUAACAGUCUUCAUGGACUACAUCCUACAUCUCGUGUGUGGGUAAUUGAAAUGGAAAAUACCACAUCUGAUCAAUAUUUUGAACAAUCUGAGCUCCCAAUCUUAAAGCUUUCAAAAUGAGUAUUUAUACCUUUAUAGGAUGGUAUAAACUUGGAGAGACCCACAUAUCUAGUUGCCAGGAAAAUUUUGUAAUUGAUUUGUAAUUAUGUUCCUCUGCUUGCAUAAACUUUUUUUUUCUUUUUUUUUUUGAGACAAGGUCUUGCUUUGUUGCCCAGGCUAGAGUGGAGUGCAGUGGUGUGAUUUCGGUUCACUGCAGUCUCUGCCUCCCAGGCUCAAGCAAUUCUCCUGCCUCAGCCUCCUGAGUAGCUGGGAUCACAGGCGCACACCACCAUGCCCAGCGAAUUUUUGUAUUUUUAGUAGAGACAGAUUUUACCAUGUUGGCCAGGCUGGUCUUGAACCCUUGACCUCAAGCGGUCCACCGCCUCGGCCUCCCAAAGUGCUGAGAUUACAGGUGUGAGCCACCAUGCCUGGCCUUGCAUGCAGUUUUUACUGGGCUAAAUUGACAACAUCAAAUAGCACAGAAUUUCUUCUAGUUUACUUCAAACUGUGAUGGCUUUAAAAUUUCUAGACUGGGAUAGUUGUUAUACAUUUUUUCUCCUUCUCUAUAUCCUAGGAAUUCAGAGACCUGGAGGGAGAAGACACAUGGACUGUCAGAUCUAGAGACCUGCUUCCUUCAAUAGCUGAUUUUCUUUCAUUUGUGUCAGAAACAGGCAGCAUGGCACAGAGCCAUGCACCUAAAACUUUAUUGUGCAUAUUUAUUCCUAGAGAUCUUGUUAAAAUGCAGAUUCAGAUUCAGCCAAUCUAGGGUCAGGGCUUUCUAUUGUAAUAAGUUCCAAGGUAAUGCCAAUGCUGCUGGUCCAUGGACUGCACACUUUGAUGAGAAGUUUAGUAAGGAUAUAGAGGAAAGAAUACUACACGUGUAGUAGUAAUUUCUGGCUUUUAGUAUCAGCUCUGCCAUUUACCAGCUUGCUUUCUUGGACAAGUCAUUUUUCCUCUCUGGAUUUUAGUUUCCUCAAAUAUAAGCUGGGUGAUAGAGGAGGAGGUUGGGUUAGGUUAUUUCAAAGCUUGCAUUCAUAGACUCUUCAAAGUGAUGUUUUGAUUAAAAAACUCCACCUAUAGGAUCACGUACAGCUUUUCAAAGGACUAGCAGGUGAACUGGCAUUAUCAAAGCAGAAAAUAUAGGGGCUGGAGCAGGAAGGCAUGGCAAAGUCAGAGAAAAGGAAGGUGAGCCAUAAUAACUUCUUAUGGCAAAUAUAACACUUUGAUUAUUUCAGAGUGAUGGAUUUUGAAUUAAAACUGUUAUCCUGAGAGAGGCUACUAUUUUUCCCAACAACUAUCUUAGGGGGAGACCUGCAUUACUGAAAACUGAGUUGCAUAAGAAACUUGAGUGAAGGAAGCAAUGGAUAUGUUAGUGCUUUGAAAUAAGCAAAUGCUUACAGGGGCUGUGAGGGAAUCAUGGCUGGAGGGAAGCUUUCUGGAGCCAUGAGGGAGUCUGAUUUGAAAACAGCAGUUCAUCUCUGCUGCAGACCAUUUAUCUAAUUUCAGACAAAUUGGCCAGAAAUUCAGGUAUUUGGCCACUGCUAGCAGAUGUAACAGGGAGAAAUGCAGUCUCCUACAAGGGUUAGGAGAGCAAGGUGCCAGGGGUCACCCAGGGGCAUAAAUAGGCAAGGAGAAGGAGGGGGUGAAAAAGGAACACAGAUGAUGUAAGUGAAUGAAUGAAGCUUCUGACCAUCUGAGCCUCUGGCGGCAGCCCUUCCCCAAGAGCUCACGCAUCUCUGUUUUGAGCAGGAAACAGGAUCAGACAGAAAGGGCUCCCCAGACUCACAGAUACAAGCUAGUUUCUCAUUAAGUCCCAAAGCAAAGUCAGGGGAGUGGAGAAAACUCCUGGUGCUGGCGCCUCUUCCAACGUUAGGUUGAGGAAUACAGGAGAUGUUUACCUUAUGCAGGACGUGGUCGUUGAAGUCAGGGCCAGCUCCUCCCUGGUAGGAAUCGGGUCUCUGCAGGUCCAUGCCAGGCUUGGAGCUCGCCGCUCCGGCUCUCCCUGCGCUCUGCGUCAGCGCUUCCAGGAGCUCGGUUCGAGCUCCGCUGGGUGCGGCAGGCUUGGGUCUGAGCUCUGCGGGCCGGGCCGCAUCCGUUUUCAGCACUGGACAGUUCCCCGCAGCGGCCGCGGCGCGGUACCAGGCGGGCAGGCGGCCACGUUCUUCCAGGACUGAGCGUUUCAGCACCAGGAACAGCGACUCCGCCGUUGUGCGCCCGGGACCAGAGUUCUGAGAUCCUGUCCGCUCCAAUCCCUGCCUCUUAGGACUCCAGGAUGCUGGCAGGGACGCAAGAUUUGGGUCCGGCUGGUGAUCCCUGCGUAUUUCAUUCAGCUACCGGACUCCGGAGGCUCAGCACCCGGCUGCGUUCUCAGGGCAUUGCGGUCCCAGGAGCUCACCGUUCCUGAUCCCGAGCGAACGGGCAUCUCCGUCACCACGCAGCUCAGCGCAGCGCAGCUCUCCUCACACGUUUGCAGAGGCGAAGUCCUGCGGCGCUGGCGGCGCUUCUGUUUUUGUCCCUGGACAAUUCUCUCCAGGAUGUAUGAGAUAAAUAGAGCUUCUAAGUCUGAGGUCGACAGUAGAUGGGUCUUAGGUGUCCCCAAAGUCCCUGAAAUAUGCAAAAUUCUGUUUACCUGCGUUUUCCUAGGGAGAAGGUCCAGGGCUUUGAUCACAUUCUCUCCAGCACACAUGACCGCAAGAAGUUAAGGACAAUGGGCUCAGGAGAGGCAGAUGGUGGUUUGGUUAGGAGCACAGGCUCCAGGAUUCAAAUCUCGAUUCUGAAAAUUAUUAGUCGUGCAAACUCGGGCAAAUUAAUCUUUCCUAAGUGUCCACAAAAUGGAGAUAAUAUUAUAAUAGUACCUGCCUCAUGGUUUUGUUCUGAGUAUUUAAUGAGUUAAUUCAUGUAAAAAGCCUAGAACAGUGCCCAGCGUGUACUAAGAACUCAAUAAAUGUGAGCUACUAUGCUCUCCUGGCAGGGGAUGAAGAGCUCUGGCUACUUCUCCUAUACGUCAGGGGAGUCCUGCUGCUGCGACCUUUGAUUGGCAAAAUUGCAUCAUCACAUGGAAUAUGAGAGCGUGAGGCUGACCACCAUGGGAACUGGAGGCUGAGACUGUGGCCCCUGGGAUUAUUAUCAGAUUACUAAGGACAAGUCCUAGUACCAGCCACGGGCCCUUGGAGUCAAUAUCAACAUGGAAGGAAAGAGCCAGGCUUAGGGUUAAAAGAGUGCGUUUUACUGCUGGGUUUCACUCCUUUUUGGCUGAGUUGUGUGAACCAGAUCACUCGUGUUCCCUGGGAUUACUUAUGUUUUCUCAUCUGCAAAAUAGGUAGAGUAAUCUAUGCCCACUUUAUUGGGUUUGGGGGAAGAGUGAGACAAUGUACAUGAAAAGUCUUUAUUUUCUUUUAAAUUGUAAAGUAAAUUUCAUUUAUAAGGUGUUAUUAUUGCUGGAAUCACUAUACUGUAGAUACUCAAUGAACAUUGAUUAAAUGAACAAAGCUAGGGAA